rnacentral:rRNA from 1 species
GAUGAACGCUGGCGGCGUGCCUAAUACAUGCAAGUCGAGCGAACGGACGAGAAGCUUGCUUCUCUGAUGUUAGCGGCGGACGGGUGAGUAACACGUGGAUAACCUACCUAUAAGACUGGGAUAACUUCGGGAAACCGGAGCUAAUACCGGAUGAUAUUUUGAACCGCAUGGUUCAAAAGUGAAAGACGGUCUUGCUGUCACUUAUAGAUGGAUCCGCGCUGCAUUAGCUAGUUGGUAAGGUAACGGCUUACCAAGGCAACGAUGCAUAGCCGACCUGAGAGGGUGAUCGGCCACACUGGAACUGAGACACGGUCCAGACUCCUACGGGAGGCAGCAGUAGGGAAUCUUCCGCAAUGGGCGAAAGCCUAACGGAGCAACGCCGCGUGAGUGAUGAAGGUCUUCGGAUCGUAAAACUCUGUUAUUAGGGAAGAACAGAUGUGUAAGUAACUGUGCACAUCUUGACGGUACCGAAUCAGAAAGCCACGGCUAACUACGU